GGGUUGUGAGGUUAAGUGACUAAGCGUACACGGUGGAUGCCUAGGCAGUCAGAGGCGAUGAAGGGCGUGCUAAUCUGCGAAAA
rnacentral:rRNA from 1 species